rnacentral:tRNA from 1 species
GCUCCUGUAGUGAAAUGGAUAUCAUAACUGCCUUCGAAGCAGUCGUUGGGGGUUCGAAUCCCUCCGGGAGCA